rnacentral:piRNA from 1 species
UACCCCCAGAUUAUGUCGAAA